GAUGAAGAACGCAGCGAAAUGCGAUACGUAAUGUGAAUUGCAGAAUUCAGUGAAUCAUCGAAUCUUUGAACGCACAUUGCGCCCGCUGGUAUUCCGGCGGGCAUGCCUGUUCGAGCGUCAUUUCAACCCUCAAGCUCUCCGGAGUUUGGUGUUGGGGCGCCUGGGGCUUUUCGACCUCAGGGCCCUCAAGUCCAUCGGCGGGACCGCCAGGACACUGAGCGCAGUAGUAUUAUUUCGCUCGGUAGGAUCUUCCACGGCGGGUCGAUCUGGCCGCUAAACCCCCCAAUUCUCACCAAAGGUUGACCUCGGAUCAGGUAGGAAUACCCGCUGAACUUAAGCAUAUCAAUAAGCGGAGGA
rnacentral:misc_RNA from 1 species